CAGGUUUACCUGUGUGACUGCGUACCUUUUGUAUAAUGGGUCAGCGACUUAUAUUCUGUAGCAAGGUUAACCGAAUAGGGGAGCCGCAGGGAAACCGAGUCUUAAUUGGGCGUUAAGUUGCAGGGUAUAGACCCGAAACCCGGUGAUCUAGCCAUGGGCAGGUUGAAGGUUGGGUAACACUAACUGGAGGACCGAACCGACUAAUGUUGAAAAAUUAGCGGAUGACCUGUGGCUGGGGGUGAAAGGCCAAUCAAACCGGGAGAUAGCUGGUUCUCCCCGAAAGCUAUUUAGGUAGCGCCUCGUGAAUUCAUCUCCGGGGGUAGAGCACUGUUUCGGCUAGGGGGCCAUCCCGGCUUACCAACCCGAUGCAAACUGCGAAUACCGGAGAAUGUUAUCACGGGAGACACACGGCGGGUGCUAACGUCCGUCGUGAAGAGGGAAACAACCCAGACCGCCAGCUAAGGUCCCAAAGUCAUGGUUAAGUGGGAAACGAUGUGGGAAGGCCCAGACAGCCAGGAUGUUGGCUUAGAAGCAGCCAUCAUUUAAAGAAAGCGUAAUAGCUCACUGGUCGAGUCGGCCUGCGCGGAAGAUGUAACGGGGCUAAACCAU
rnacentral:rRNA from 1 species